GAUGAACGCUAGCGGCAGGCCUAAUACAUGCAAGUCGAACGGGAUUGCGGUAGUAGCUUGCUACUACUGCAUGAGAGUGGCGCACGGGUGCGUAACGCGUGAGCAACCUACCCAUAUCAGGGGGAUAGCCCGGCGAAAGUCGGAUUAACACCGCAUAACAUCAACAGUUCGCAUGUUCAGUUGAUUAAAUAUUUAUAGGAUAUGGAUGGGCUCGCGUGACAUUAGCUAGUUGGUAGGGUAACGGCUUACCAAGGCAACGAUGUCUAGGGGCUCUGAGAGGAGAAUCCCCCACACUGGUACUGAGACACGGACCAGACUCCUACGGGAGGCAGCAGUAAGGAAGAUUGGUCAAUGGGCGCAAGCCUGAACCAGCCAUGCCGCGUGCAGGAGGACUGCCCUAUGGGUGGUAAACUGCUUUUAUCAGGGAAUAAACCCCUUUACGAGUAGAGGGUUGAAUGUACCUGAAGAAUAAGGAUCGGCUAACUCCGUG
rnacentral:rRNA from 1 species